UUUCCGUCAAAGAAAAAUCGGUUUUUAGGCUUCCCAUCAGGGAUUUUGUAAAUGGCAAACCAGUCUCGCGUACAAGGUAAUAGCCUUGGCAUCAAGUUCUGAACAUCAGAAAUAUCUAAGAAAGUUAGCUGUCCAUAAUAUUUCAAUCAUGAAAAGCAAUAGGUUACACGUACCAUUAAGUAGUUUGGCACGAGGGUCGUUGAUAUCUAUGGCAAGGAUUUUCCAAUCUGUUUCUCCCUGAUCGAUAAGACCCAAUGCACCGAGAACUUUUACUUGCUUGAUUUGCCCAAUGUAGCCGAUUGAACCUCCUAUCUCGCACACAUCCAAGGGAUCACCAUCUCCUUUCAUCUUCGUUCUUGAAUCUAUUACGUUCGGAUCCUCCCAUGUCUGUGGGAGCGCGCCGUAAUUCCAAAUGAAACCAUGGUAAGGAAAGGAAUUGGCAACAUAACGCAGCUUUCCAUUUUUUAGAUCCUGCUUGAUGGGAUGAAAGGGAGAAGUUAACGAAAUUUCACAUUUUGCUUGAGUCCAACGGGGAAUUUCAGUAACCUAGUUGAAAAAAAUUGUUAGUGCUGUCAUACUCCGCAGCGAUAAUGAAAAGGAUAUAUAACUAAUUGGCAACAAAAACCUCAAAAUUCAAUGAGUUACUAUACACACCAUAUUAAAUGUGUCCUUAUCAGAUGUCAAUGGGACAUCAUGGAAGAAUGAAAUUGGUUUAUUGUUUUUAUAGCAAUACACGCGAAAGUCCGGCGUAUUUAGUUUUCCAGUGAUUUUCGACCGAAAUUGAAGAAUAUUUUUAGCAAGGGAAGCCAUGGGAAAUUUUUCUAUUACCAAGCUCAUCAAUCAACUCUCUAGUUGAACUCACCGACUAAAGUAAUACACCAUCUAUCAUCUAAACUGUUUCUACCACAUUAUGAAGUAUAAAGCGCUGAAGGUUGCAAUCCGUUAAGGAUUUAACCGUACAUGUAACAACAUCAUUAAAUAUACAAUCAGAGUGAAAGGGCAUUUUAGGGCGGAAGAACUUGGAUAAAAGUAAAACGUACGUAUGGAUUAGCAGGCACUGAAUAGACUACAAAUAUCUCAAUUUAUUUAUAAAAAUCAGGAAUGAUAUUCAUUCAUAAUCUAUCUAUACAUUUAGAAAAACCAAGGGGACUUUAAAAUGCAAUCAAUUGUGAUUCAUUAUUAAUUUAUAAAAUAAUAAACAUUUAACAGACAGGAUUUUCAACCAUUGAACGGUACUCUUUACUCUACAGUUAUCUCAGCUGAAAAGAAUUUAC